GACGAACGCUGGCGGCGUGCCUAAUACAUGCAAGUAGAACGCACAGUUUAUACCGUAGCUUGCUACACCAUAGACUGUGAGUUGCGAACGGGUGAGUAACGCGUAGGUAACCUGCCUGGUAGCGGGGGAUAACUAUUGGAAACGAUAGCUAAUACCGCAUAAUAUUGAUUAUUGCAUGAUAAUUGAUUGAAAGAUGCUAUUGCAUCACUACCAGAUGGACCUGCGUUGUAUUAGCUAGUAGGUGAGGUAACGGCUCACCUAGGCGACGAUACAUAGCCGACCUGAGAGGGUGAUCAGCCACACUGGGACUGAGACACGGCCCAGACUCCUACGGGAGGCAGCAGUAGGGAAUCUUCGGCAAUGGACGAAAGUCUGACCGAGCAACGCCGCGUGAGUGCAGAAGGUUUUCGGAUCGUAAAGCUCUGUUGUAAGAGAAGAACGGGUGUGAGAGUGGAAAGUUCACACUGUGACGGUAUCUUACCAGAAAGGGACGGCUAACUACGUG
rnacentral:rRNA from 1 species